UCUGAGUGGAUUUUGCAGUUACCGUUCGUGUGUAAAUGUUGGCCUGCUGCCAAGGCAAGUCGGGUUCAAAUUUCUCAGAAAGCCUAAUUUUAAAAUACAUAAACUUUAUCCUAUACUCGUACACAAAGAGGAAGACAGUACGACUAGGCGUGGUGCGAACAUAAAAUUAGUUACAGACUUGAACGCGACUCUAGGACAGAGCACCAUGUUUGCAAAGAGAGAAAGAACUCAGGACUGGUUGUUUGUGCCAGUAUGUAACAGCUUUCUCAAAUCUUGACACAAGAAUAUCACAAAGGAUAAGUCCUAUGAGAUGGGAAUUUCGCUUACAAUCGACAGCCAAAAAAAGAGGCCUACGACAAAGAAGCCCACUCAGUACCGACAUCUUUCUUCUU